UACGGAGGGGGCUAGCGUUGUUCGGAAUUACUGGGCGUAAAGCGCACGUAAGCGGCUUUGUAAGUUAGAGGUGAAAGCCCGGGGCUCAACUCCGGAAUUGCCUUUAAGACUGCAUCGCUAGAAUUGUGGAGAGGUGAGUGGAAUUCCGAGUGUAGAGGUGAAAUUCGUAGAUAUUCGGAAGAACACCAGUGGCGAAGGCGACUCACUGGACACAUAUUGACGCUGAGGUGCGAAAGCGUGGGGAGCAAACAGG
rnacentral:rRNA from 1 species